GUCGGGAGGGCGGCUAAUACAAUACCCGCAAGGGGAAUACGCCCGCCGGCUAUGAGCGGUUUCGAACCUCCCGACAUCCCGUC
rnacentral:ncRNA from 1 species